AGUGACUAAGUCAGAUUGGAAUACUGAUGAAGAAUUUGCAAGAGAGAUCAUUGCUGGUGUAAAUCCUGGUUUAGAUCACAUCCUUCAAGAGUUUCCUCCAAAAAGUAAGCUAGACAGUGAAGUCUAUGGGGAUCGUACAAGAACAAUAACCAAAGAACAAAUAGAGCUUAACUUAGAUGGGCUCACUGCAGAUCAGACUAUCCAGAACAAGAAAUUGUUCCUGCUAGAUCACCAUUUCAGCUAUUCGGAAGAUAGGACCUUUACUAAAGGUGAGGUGGUUCUGCUGCUUC